CCUGGGGUGCGAUUCACUAACGCAAAACAUCUUUACAACCAAGAAAUCAUCGUUGUAACAUCAGAUGAAAAGUAGGCGGUAUUCAUUAGUUAAAAUUGCGCGAUCGUAGCGCCUCAACGAUGUCGACGGCGUGACAUAGAACUAACAUUUGGUGCCAAAUGUAUGAAAAUCGGUAUUCAGCAACACGAAACAUCCUCGCCUGCAACGACAACCUCGCCUUCGCCCUCGAUUUUAUCUGUCAAACCGAAAAGCUUGUAAAUUGUGGAUGUUUUCUUGGAUGAAGGCGAUUAAAAUAUGGCAGUUCGCCUUUCCUGUAUGAUUUUUUUUGUUGGAAGAAACUAAACAUCAAGAUCAUUAAAUAAAUAAGAAGUCAGGCCUCCGUGAUACGUAGGUAUUAUGGAUUUACUAACUUCUGAUAGAAACUAUAUUAAGGUUGACUGAAGAACAGAUAAGACAGUUGAAAGAUUUCUCCUUUCCUAACUAAGGCGAAUCGUUAAGGAGGAAUUAGCAACCACAUCAAUAUAUUACACUUAAUCAAUAUAAUAUAAAUCAUCUUACAGUACAGUGGAUAGGUGCCUAAAACUUACUGUCCAUAAACCUUUUGUAUGUACUGUUUUUUUGGUUAGUGGGAUUUAUGUACCAAAUAAUGCUAUGUGACAUUGCAAGAACAAUGUCUCACAGGCAUCUGCCUCAAGGACUCAACAAUAUACCAUCAACCAUCCAGAUAUUAUUGAUAAGUACGAGGUAAGAAGCAUCUGUGACCCGGUUAACAAGCAAGCCGGACUCUAGCAGUGACUUGGACAGUGGACGUCAUGCUAGAAGUUAUUUAAUAAACAAUAAUAUGUGUGACACCUUCUAACAAUACAUAUGUAUUUUACCUGUGUAUGUUAAAUAGUAAUAUAAACAUUUUUAACAUUACACAAUAGUGUGCAGGUAUCAAAGUAAUUUUUAUAAAAAUACUUAACUUUUCUGUAAUCAUUAAUUAAUAAAACAUAAUUUUAAUUCAACAUGUCUUUUUAUUAUUUUGUAUUUUAUAAUGAACAUGGAUUUAUUUAUCUAAAUUCAGAUUCCAAAACAUUCUCCUCGCAUAAUGGAAUGUAUUGUUAACUCAAUUACACCAAGUUCUGACAAAUUUCUUCAUGUUGCCUCGCAGCUGCUAUAGAACUGGACUUCCUCUGAACUGCUCCCUUUUGUCCUUCUAGUGCUGCAACACAAGCAAAAAUUAUAUGAUAAUAAUAUAUCGAAUAAAUAAAACAACUAUUUGCUUGGUGUGGUUUAACUUUCAGUUACAAUUUCAAAUGCCUUUAUGAUUGAAUUUGAAGGAUAGAGUAAAAUCAUUAUAUAUGCCUGCUGUCAAUACUGAUUUAGUACCUAAUACAUACAAAACACAAUGUAAAAGAGUACCUACUAUACUUACCAUGAUCCAAUGCAACAGUAAACACACACUAUAUAGCUUCAUAAAUGAUUAUUGAUUACUAACCUUACACCACUGCUCCAAUAUUUUCAUACACCCACUACGUCACUGUUUGGGGCUGUUGUUUUCGGAUCGUGCCUGAUGACUGCUCGCUUUGCAGUACGAUCAUGGCCCAUCAUAAUCAAACAUGGUUUGCUUUCCAAAAAGCUUACUAGCUCUUCCAGCUGACUCAACGAAGGCAGUGCGUUGCGAGACACUAAAAGAUAAAUAUUUUAGUCAAUAGACGUAGUUCACAAAGACUGUAUAUUAAAAUGUAAA
rnacentral:lncRNA from 1 species